rnacentral:rRNA from 1 species
ACGGAAGGCAGCAGUGGGGGAUAUUGCACAAUGGGGGAAACCCUGAUGCAGCAACGCCGCGUGUGGGAAGAAGGUUUUCGGAUUGUAAACCACUGUUCUUAGUGAAGAAGAAAGUGACGGUAGCUAAGAAGAAAGCUCCGGCUAACUACGUGCCAGCAGCCGCGGUAAUACGUAGGGAGCGAGCGUUGUCCGGAUUUACUGGGUGUAAAGGGUGCGUAGGCGGCCCUGCAAGUCAGACGUGAAAGCCCCGGGCUCAACCCGGGAACUGCGUUUGAAACUGUGGGGCUUGAGUGAAGUAGAGGUAGGCGGAAUUCCCGGUGUAGCGGUGAAAUGCGUAGAGAUCGGGAGGAACACCAGUGGCGAAGGCGGCCUACUGGGCUUUAACUGACGCUGAGGCACGAAAGCGUGGGUAGCAAACAGGAUUAGAUACCCUGGUA